UACGUAGGUGGCAAGCGUUGUCCGGAUUUAUUGGGUUUAAAGGGUGCGUAGGCGGUCACUUAAGUCAGUGGUGAAAUACGGCAGCUUAACUGUCGAGGUGCCAUUGAUACUGAGUGACUUGAGUACUGAUGAGGUAGGCGGAAUGGACGGUGUAGCGGUGAAAUGCUUAGAGAUCGUCCAGAACACCGAUAGCGGAGGCAGCUUACUAAGGAGUAACUGACGCUGAGGCACGAAAGUGUGGGGAGCAAACAGG
rnacentral:rRNA from 1 species